UACGUAGGGUGCGAGCGUUAAUCGGAAUUACUGGGCGUAAAGCGUGCGUAGGCGGUUCGUUAAGUUCGUUGUGAAAGCCCCGGGCUCAACCUGGGAACUGCAAUGGAAACUGGCGGGCUUGAGUGUGGCAGAGGGGGGUGGAAUUCCGCGGUGUAGCAGUGAAAUGCGUAGAGAUGCGGAGGAACACCGAUGGCGAAGGCAGCCCCCUGGGCCAACACUGACGCUCAGGCACGAAAGCGUGGGGAGCAAACAGG
rnacentral:rRNA from 1 species